rnacentral:lncRNA from 1 species
AAAAUUCUUUUAAAUCCUACAUUUAAAAAUAUUUUCUUUUAACCCUUAGGCAUAUUAUUUUUAAUCUUUUAGCACCUACAUAUAUUAUUUUAAUUCUGGCCGGAAGUAAAAAAAAUUUAAAUGAUAUGUGUAAAGAUUAAAAAUGAUGUUUAAAACUUUAGGGUUUAAAAUGAUUUUUUAUAAAUACAGGGAGUUUAACUAAUGAAUAACUAAAACUAUUUUCUAUUAUAAAAACAAUGUCUCUUAUAUUAUUUUUGUUCUAAGACUGGCACCUAUAAUAAUUUUUUAGUUAAAAGAUAUUUUUUGUCCUAUAAAUAUAUUAAAGUUCGUUUUUCAUUCCUGUAAAAAUUUUCAUCAGUAUAUAUAAACCUACAUAACAUUUUUUAAUUUAAAUUUCAAAAUAUAAAUUAUGAGAAUUAAAAAUUAUCAUAAAUUACAAGGAUAAAAAAUAAAAUAAAAAAAAACAAAAUAUGAUUUAUGACGGUUAAAAGUAGUCACACAUUACAUAAAAAAUUUAAAAAAAUGCAUGAAUUGAACCACCUCUCUCUCCAUCUCCCUGGACAUCAAAACAACAACAAGGGCUAUCACAAAAGAACCCACACACUUACACUCACAUAUCCCACCCACCAAACCCAUAAAUCCAAAUUCAAAUCGAAACCACUCUUUUCCCACCACCCCUACCCCCAGCAACAACAACAUUUUGGACCUCUUCCUCCACUAUCGCAAACCCACCCCCCCACCACAAAACAACAAGAUCUGAGCAAGAACAAGAAUCAAGAACACAAAUAGAUAUGAACGCACAACAACGAGAAUCAAGAACAAGAACAAAUCUCGGAGAAGUCGAGGAGGUAGAUGAAGUAGGCAAUGACUGAGAAAAUGUCUACGGCCUCCUUAUUCUCUUGUUUGCACUUCUUGGCCUCGACCUCCUUGUCGCGACGCUGAGGGAGUUGGUGUUUCUGUUGGAAGUGCUACUUGAGGUGUGAAGGGGUAUUUUCGUUGAAGGAGGCGCCGUCGUCAGAAGUCAUUGCAGGUGGAGGAAGGGAAGGGUGUGAGAAAGAGAAAGAGGAAAAAAAGGGAAAGAGAAAAAAAGAAGCUAAUACAUGUCUUGCUUUUAGUGCACAAACAUAUGCAUGUAGGUUUGGAAUCACCCAACCCUUGUUCUGAAUAAAAAAAAUAACAUUAUAAUUUUAUAGGGACAAAAAACAGAUAAAAAGUUUU